CAUCCAACCAAUCCCGCCAGAUGCUGGUUAAAUGCAGACCCGCCAUCGCCCCCUAACGGCCGCGAGCAGCAUGUCUGGUGACGUCACUUCCAUGAGACAGGACGUUUGUUUUACGAAGGCCCAUCUCUGCAAUUCCGCUUCCAAGAAGUUGAAACGCACGCACGUCCGAAAAUAGGAAGUGAGCAGCCCUAACUAUAAACAAGCGUGCGCGCGUGUUGCGUUUACGUGUGCGUGCCCGACUUGAUUGGGCGUCGCGGUGACAGCAUCACGGCGGGGUCACGGGAACCUCCUCCCACCCGUCAACCGACGGCCCGCCGUCGCUCGUCUUACCUGCUCCGGGUUCCGCUCGAGAUUUUGCCGGCUCGCACGACCCCGACGGACGCCACCCACCAGUCCGAGGCGGCGGCGGCGUAGUAGACGGGCGGCUGCGGCGAGGCGCAGGUGGCGCUGGCGCGGUCGUCCAGGCCGCAGGCGCCCAUGUUGGCGAAGAGCAGCCAGUCGCCCACGCUGAGCUCGGGCAGGAGGCAGCGCUCCACCACCAGGUCCAGCUGGUCCAGCGUGGGACCCCGCAGGCCGCUGGGGUGCACGGCCGCGUCGGCGCACGGCGCGCGCUGCGGAAACCAUUGACACAAGGUGCCGAAUUUUCCAACAAUUCCAAAGUUUACUGCCCACCACGACUGACUUCCUGCGGAUUUUGUUGCUAAACUGAACCUAAAAUGGCCGCCCCCCCCCCCCAGGUAAACAAAUCCCUUGCGAACAAGUCAACACGUCUUAUCUACAUUGUGGAUGACGCUAGUCUGACAUAAUCAAA